rnacentral:rRNA from 1 species
CGGGGGGGGCAAGCGUUGUUCGGAAUUACUGGGCGUAAAGGGUGCGUAGGCGGCUCUCUAAGUCGGAUGUGAAAACUCUGGGCUCAACCCAGAGCCUGCAUCCGAAACUGGAGAGCUAGGGUUCUGGAGGGGAAAGCGGAAUUCCUGGUGUAGCGGUGAAAUGCGUAGAUAUCAGGAGGAACACCGGUGGCGAAGGCGGCUUUCUGGACAGAUACCGACGCUGAGGCACGAAAGCUAGGGGAGCAAACAGGAUUAGAUACCCUGGUAGUCCUAGCCCUAAACUAUGGAUACUUGCUGUGGGGGGGAUUGAAGCCCCUUGUGGCGAAGCUAACGCAUUAAGUAUCCCGCCUGGGGAGUACGGUCGCAAGGCUG